GCUAAUACCGGAUAACAACAGAUGAUGCCUAUCAACUGUUUAAAAGAAUGGUUCUGCUAUCACUCUUGGAUGGACCUGCGGUGCAUUAGCUAGUUGGUAGGGUAACGGCCUACCAAGGCGAUGAUGCAUAGCCGAGUUGAGAGACCGAUCGGCCACAUUGGGACUGAGACACGGCCCAAACUCCUACGGGAGGCAGCAGUG
rnacentral:rRNA from 1 species